rnacentral:rRNA from 1 species
UACGUAGGGGGCAAGCGUUGUCCGGAAUCAUUGGGCGUAAAGAGCGUGUAGGCGGCCCGAUAAGUCCGCCGUGAAAGCCCAGGGCUCAACCCUGGGAUGCCGGUGGAUACUGUCGGGCUAGAAUCCGGAAGAGGCGAGUGGAAUUCCUGGUGUAGCGGUGAAAUGCGCAGAUAUCAGGAGGAACACCAAUGGCGAAGGCAGCUCGCUGGGACGUGACUGACGCUGAGACGCGAAAGCGUGGGGAGCAAACAGG